rnacentral:rRNA from 1 species
AGUGAACGCUGGCGGCGUGCCUAAUACAUGCAAGUCGAACGGAGUGGCGCACGGGUGAGUAAUAUAUAGCUAAUCUGCCCCUUGCUGGGGGACAACAGUUAGAAAUGACUACCAAUACUCCAUAGAAAGGGAUGAGACGAUAUUGUAUCAGCUAGUCGGUGGGGUAACGGCCGACCGAGGCUAUGACGCGUAACUGGUCUGAGAGGAUGAUCAGUAACAUUUGAAGGGAGACACGGUCCAAACGCCUACGGGAGGCAGCAGUAGGGAAUAUUGCGCAAGGGGCGAAUACCUGACGCAGCAACGCCGCGUAGAGGAUGACACUUUGCGGAGCGUAAACUCAGUUUGUUAGGCAUGCGGUACCUAACGAAUAAGCACCGGCUAACUCCGUGCCAGCAGCCGCGGUAAUAC